rnacentral:rRNA from 1 species
UACGUAGGAGACGAGCGUUGUCCGGAGUUACUGGGCGUAAAGGGUGCGCAGGUGGCGGCGCGCGUGGGGGGUGAAAUCGCCCGGCUUAACUGGGCGGGGGCCUUCCAGACGGCGUGGCUUGAGCAGCGGAGGGGGACGUGGAAUUCCGGGUGGAGCGGUGAAAUGCUUAGAUAUGACAUAGAACACCGAUUGCGAAGGCAGCUGGCUACAGGUAUAUUGACACUGAGGCACGAAAGCGUGGGGAUCAAACAGG